GGCACGCCGACCCCGAGGCUGGGGGGCUGCCAAAGAGAGGAGAAGAGAAAGAAAAAACUACAGCAGAGAAUCAGACAAGGAGUGAAGAGAGAGAGAAAGAGAUUGGAGAGGGAGAGAGAGAGAGAGAGAAAGAGACAAAGGAAGUGAGUGCGAGAGAGGAGACGGCUUGGCAUCCGAACUGUCCUGGUUCCUUCUCCCAGCCCCCACCU